AGCCUCUGGAGUAGCUGAGAGUACAAGCACAUGCCGGUAUGCCUGGCUAAUUUUUGUAAAUUUUUUUUUUUUUGGAGAGAGGGGGUUUUGCCAUGUUGCUCAGGCUGGUCUCAAACUCCUGGGCUCAAGCAAUUCUCCCACCUCACCCUCCCAAAGUGCUGGCAUUACAGGCAUGAGCCACCGCGCCCAACCUUCAUGUAUUAUUCUUGAAUCUAAAAGGAAAAAAGAAUAUGUAUUUUUGUAGUGAUUGCUGGAGCCCUCUUUCCUAGGUUGGCUGUGGUCAGUUUGCAGCACAGUCCUAAUGUUAAUGGAGUCUAGCCAUUCUGAUCUGGCCUUCCAGGUCAUUAGGAGGCUCUGCCAUCGUGUGAGGAG
rnacentral:lncRNA from 10 species